AAUUAAGUAUAUUCGUGGUGUACCUCAAAUUGUUACAAAAAACUAAGUAUUAACCAUCUUCAUAAGUCUCCUUUUUCUAUCUUUUAUCAAAAUUGCCGUGGAUUGCGCACUAAACUUCGUGUUAUUAGAAAGAAUUCGCAGGGAGUUGGUUAUGAUAUAAUUAUAUUUACUGAAACUUGGGUAAAUGACCAAAUAUUUGACUCAGAACUUGCUCUAACUGAUUAUGUAAUAUAUAGAAAGGACCGGUCUUACCUCAUUAGUACUGCCAGCAGAGGGGGGAGUGUUAAUUGCAGUACGCUUAACUAUCCCUAGUAGACUGCUGGAAUCUUUUCCAGGUAUAGAACAAAUAUAUGUGGCUGUUGGCAGUACUAAUUGUCCGCUUAUUGUGGGAGCGCUUUAUUUUCCUCCUAAAUCUGCUUUAGAAAAAUAUAUCUCUUUCAAUAACAGUAUCGAUAAAAUUUUUCAAAUACAUUUCCCACCUCUUAUUUCUGUUUUGCAGGAAACUUCAACCUACACUGUUCUUGGUCUCAUGAUAAUUUUUGUUCUGCGGCAAAUCCUGCUCCAGGUAUUUCUUUAAUCGAAGAAGAUGUUAUAAAUAUUAUGAAUCAUAUAUGUUCCUAUCAAAAUCUAUUCCAACGCAAUAACAUCUAUAAUAAUGUUAACUCAUUACUUGAUCUACUUGAUGAAAAUUGCAUUGUCGCAGAAGCUGAUGAGGGAUUAGUUGACCCCGAUAGUUUCCACCCUCCUUUAUGCUUUAAUUUAAACCGUGGAGAUGCUUUAAAUGAUGAAUAGAAAGCUGAUGGCUUUUUCUACGACUUUAAAUCAGCAAAUUUUCAAGGUAUUUCUGAUUACUUAGACACAAUAUACUGGGAUGAAAUUUUCAGAGACAAAA
rnacentral:lncRNA from 1 species